ensembl:lncRNA
AGUCACGCUGCACAACCCAAAGGCAGAAAUCCCACACGUGGCAUUACACGCCCAGAUGUGCUGUGCUUCUGAAGGUGAGGAUUGCUGAUACUGAUGGUGGCUGAGAGGGCAGCACUAUGUUUUCAUGUAUCUCCUCUAAACUGACUCUUAGAAGCCGGUUCACCUGAGGCUGAGCCCUGCAGAGGACACAGCUGUGGCUCAUGCCCCACUUGGAGAUGAAAGCCCUUGGGCAGGUGCAGAGAACCAAAUGAUCUCGGAGAUGCAGCAGGGUGUAGCCCAGUGGCUGCCUUGUAGGAGCUACAGGUGUGAGAUGAGCUCUCCUCAGCCUCGCAGCUCUGACGCUCAGGCAGCUUCUCCCUGUCCCCCUUUAUUGAAGAAGGAACAUUGAGUGCACCUUGAUACCCCAGCGUUGUCCAUCCCCAUCCUACCUGUGGAAUUGGAUCACUGGGCUCACCCUCCUGGCAGCAAAGUGCCAAUUACAGAGGAUUGGGGUGCUGAAUCCUCCCUUGGGACCUAUAAAGCCUCCAUUCUGGCAGUGAAAGGAGCUCUGCAACAGGAAAACUGUGGGCUAUGUGGACAUCUGGGAUGGAGGGAGUCUGUGCAAGGGGUGAGCCCACACCUGGAGCACCGAUACCACUCUGCUGCUGGUGGCUUCAGUUUGCAAAGGGGUCCUCUGCUGUCAUUGCCCUGUGUGUGGGAUGGUCCCGGCCUUCAGUGGACUGCAGAACUGCAGCCUUGAGCUGCCUAUCUUUGCAGGUCCCCAUGCAUGCAAAAGACAAACUCUGUGCAAGCCUUCAGGUUUACAUGGCUAAGGACGCAGAUCUGAGCAAUUCAUAUUGCACCCAACAGAAGGGCACUGGUGUGGAGUCCGGGCAGCAGUGGAAGGAGAUGGCUCAUUCAGGACAGGUGGGCUCUCUGCAAUGCCUUUCCUGUGUCCCGGUUUUCUCUCACACCAGUGGUUUUAGUUGCUGAAAACUUAAAACAUUGCUGACGACUGUGCAGUGCUCCUCACUUUGCAUUGCAUGAGGGCCCUCCACAUUCCUCACCUGUUCCGCUCACUGAUAAGGUUAACAGGGGAAGGAACGUGCUGCCAAACUCAUUUUAACAGAUGAGGGCUGUUUGCACCCAGCUGUUGGGCUGAUGGCUUUUCUGACUUAGGAAAUGCAGAAUGGGAAACAUUAGUACGAGGGGGAAGAUGAAAGAGAAGAGACUGCAAAGUGCAGCCCUGCAAAUUUCCCUUGCACUCAGUCAAGCUACAGAAUAAUCAGAUUAAGCCAUAAGUGUAUAAAUGGGGUUGGAGUAUGUUUGCUCUGCUGACUCGGUGGUGCAUGCAGGGCACUCCGAGCGCUGUAACUGUAGCCCUGGAGGUAUUAGUCACGCUGGGAGGGCUUCAGUGAAUGUAAGAGGGCUUCAUCUGGGCAGUUACCAAGGCAACUCUCGCUAAUAUUUCAUCACAAUGCUUUCUCCCUCUCCAAGUCCCACGGAUUAGGAGUGGGAAUCUCAGAGAGAAGAGUUUAUUGUCAAUAUUGUGCUUGGACUGAGUGUAUCUCUCCCCCUCCUCCCCCUCCCCCCCUCAAAAAACGCAAGCGUUCUCCAUGGACAGAACCCACAAUGAGCAGCUGGAGCUGAGCUCUGCCUUUCACCACUGCCUUAUGCCCUAUGGAAGGCCUUGUGUAGUCACCAGUCUCCUUCUUUCCAGCUCUGAAAUAAGUGGAGAUGCAGCAUGAGCCCAUCUCCAUCCGCACUGAGAUGACACUCAGACCCCACAGUGUGAUACCAAACUCAUCAUACCAGUGCCACUCACUGGGAUGGGCCAUUCCACUGCCCGAGGUCAGGGAAUGAUGCUAUUUCCCAUGUUCAAAAACUGCUUUGUAAGAAAUGAGGGCAGAAAUCCUUCAUUUUUAAUGAUUUCUUCUUUCAGACUUUGCAUCUAACUUCUUUAGCAGCUGGCACUGUUUAUAAGACCCACUGCUCUCAUUUCAUCUGGGAAAACACAUGCAGCACAAUUAGAAAAGCUGCUGGGGAGGAGCAAAUAGCAGAGCCUUAUAGCCAGGAUGUGGCUUCUCUGCCUCCUGCAGUUCCUUUUCAUGGGUGAAUUUGGUGCUUGGGAUCUGUUGCUUGUUCCCAACUUCCAUUAACCACCUAUUAUUUCUCAUUGAAGAAAUGGGACUUAAUAGGAAAAUGACAAUACUGUGAUCCAGAAUGGCAGAGAAAGUCUCUUCAUCAGGUCUGUGUACUGGAACAUGAUAGCAGCGGGGCUUUAAGGCACAAUUCAGGCCUCCUCCUGGUGCAGGUAUGUUUGCAUGAGCGCUGUGUUCCCUGCAGUGUGCUGGUUUGGGUGCACUAAUAGAGUCAGGGCAUCCCCUGGUCUGAGCACACCCGCAGCUUUUGGGUUGGAUGGAUGCACAGCUCAGCAGAGGCAGUGCAGCAAUCACUGCUGUGUUGCUUUACAGGUCCGGAUUAGUUCUACCUUCUGUAGUGUUAGCUGCUGACUUUGGGACCUGUUGUUUUCAGAGUUAUAUGUGACACCAGCAGCUCUCUGGAAGGGAAAUGCAGUGGAUUGCACUCAAGUAAGCCUUACUGCUGUAAAUCACUCCUCCCUUUCCAGUGAGAAAAAUGUGUGUAUGUGCAUCAGCAGUGCUAACGGCUCUUCCUGAAAUCCCUCCAGUUCCUCACCCCUAGGAAUCACCACCUGCAGUUUGCAGAAUGAGCUGCGAUGCAGUGUAUCUGAGGGGCAGCAAGGCACAGCUGUGAGCUCAUGCCUGCAGAAUAUGCACACACAGCCACAGGGUACAGGAACAAACCCCAGGAGGACGAACCUCCAGGCAUUCCAAGUAGUUGGAGUGACAUAAUAGGACAAAUCCUAUUCCCUGAGUCGGGCUGGAGCCAGGCUCCAGUUAGCAGUGCUGGAUGUGUCCCUCCUCUGGGCGUGCUCUCUGCCUGCACCCCGCUGCCCUCUCACACAUGAGUGCACACAUCAGCACUGCCCUCGUUUCCAUCCUGAGUGCAUUCGCUCAUCCCCCGCUCCCUCCAUGGCUGCAGUGUGACACAGCUCCAUGUCCUCCUGGAAGGAUCUGCCCAUGCUGCUGGUGGAGCUGAUGGCUGCUGACACCAUGGGGUCCUCUGCAGCCCUUGGGCUGCAGGGAAAGCUAUGGUUUACAUCUGAGCGUGAUGCGGC